AACGAACGCUGGCGGCAGGCUUAACACAUGCAAGUCGAACGCAUCCUUCGGGGUGAGUGGCAGACGGGUGAGUAACGCGUGGGAACGUGCCCUUCAGUUCGGAAUAACCCAGGGAAACUUGGGCUAAUACCGGAUACGUGCGAGAGCAGAAAGAUUUAUCGCUGAAGGGUGGGCCCGAGUCGGAUUAGCUAGUUGGUGAGGUAAUGGCUCACCAAGGCGACGAUCAGUAGCUGGUCUGAGAGGGUGAUCAGCCACAUUGGGACUGAGACACGGCCCAAACUCCUACGGGAGGCAGCAGUGGGGAAUAUUGGACAAUGGGCGCAAGCCUGAUCCAGCCAUGCCGCGUGAGUGAUGAAGGCCUUAGGGUUGUAAAGCUCUUUCAGUGGGGACGAUAAUGACGGUACCCGCAGAAGAAGCCCCGGCUAACUUCGUGCCAGCCGCCGCCGUAAUAC
rnacentral:rRNA from 1 species